rnacentral:rRNA from 1 species
UCGAACGAUGAACCCGCUUCGGUGGGGGAUUAGUGGCGAACGGGUGAGUAACACGUGGGCAAUCUGCCCUGCACUCUGGGACAAGCCCUGGAAACGGGGUCUAAUACCGGAUAAUACUGCGGACCGCAUGGUCUGCGGUUGAAAGCUCCGGCGGUGCAGGAUGAGCCCGCGGCCUAUCAGCUUGUUGGUGGGGUGAUGGCCUACCAAGGCGACGACGGGUAGCCGGCCUGAGAGGGCGACCGGCCACACUGGGACUGAGACACGGCCCAGACUCCUACGGGAGGCAGCAGUGGGGAAUAUUGCACAAUGGGCGAAAGCCUGAUGCAGCGACGCCGCGUGAGGGAUGACGGCCUUCGGGUUGUAAACCUCUUUCAGCAGGGAAGAAGCGAAAGUGACGGUACCUGCAGAAGAAGCGCCGGCUAACUACGUGCCAGCAGCCGCGGUAAUACGUAGGGCGCAAGCGUUGUCCGGAAUUAUUGGGCGUAAAGAGCUCGUAGGCGGCUUGUCGCGUCGGAUGUGAAAGCCCGGGGCUUAACCCCGGGUCUGCAUUCGAUACGGGCAGGCUAGAGUGUGGUAGGGGAGAUCGGAAUUCCUGGUGUAGCGGUGAAAUGCGCAGAUAUCAGGAGGAACACCGGUGGCGAAGGCGGAUCUCUGGGCCAUUACUGACGCUGAGGAGCGAAAGCGUGGGGAGCGAACAGGAUU